AGAGCAGCUUCUCAGGGCUACCUGAGAUGCUGUCUCCUGGGCUGAAGUCCUCAUUUCACUCCAAAUAAAGCUUAAUUCUCAACUUUCAGUUGUAAUUUUUUUUUUUUUUAAGUCAGUUACGGUGACCACGAAGGGACCAGAUCGGACUUCUCUCCUUUGCCUGAACUCUAUGAGGAAAUGGAGCUGUGGUACCAGCAGAGACACCUUGUGCCCGUCCAUCUCCUUUGGGAGUUCAGACAAAUUUGGAUGGUGCAGCUGAUCCUGAUGACCAGUACUGUCCAGGAAACAAACACUUCAGUUCAGCCUAAGGUGAUGACUGCUUUUCAAAUUUGGUAUUCAUGUCCCAAUAUUUACCUGUAGGAUACUGAUAGCCUGAAUUUUAAUCCUGUUUUUCCUAUCCUAUACUGGACAUCCAACAUGUUAAAACGUCAUCUGUAGCUAUCAGUGGAAGAAAGUGAGGAGCAUGGAAUGGAAUAAUUAGUGGAAGAGAGCUACCACUUGGGGUUUACUCUAUACAGUGAUCUUGAAACUCACAAAUGUUCAUUGAAAAUUUCCUAUGUGUGGAGUGCUUGAAGUGUACAAAGUUAAUGUUUUUAGAGAUUAGGUGAUAGAUUCACAGAGAACUCAAUCCCUCCAGCAGUUAGGGAAUAUUGUGUCUUCAGGCUUCUCUACCAAGAGGAGGCCAAGUAACUUAUUGGACUCUUUAGAUACUGGGCCUCAGCUGGAUAUUCUACUUGAUCUUUUAUAUCAGCAACUUUGCUAAGAGGCAUCAUUUGAGUAGGGCUUCAAUCAACAAGCAUCUUGGGAAGCUGUCCGAAAAGCUUUGGCUGGUGACAGUCUAUGUGCAUGAUGGUUUUUCUACUGGAUUCUUUGGUAAAGUGGGGCAGCCUCCACCUGGAGGUGCCCUUGGAGCUUUGGGACCAUUAUCCACUUAACCUAGUUACCAAGUACACUGCCUUGGGAAUGCAAAGUAGUUUGCUACUGAGAUAUUUUGGAAACUGGAUGUCUGACCCAUGGAUGCCUUCUAACUCUCCAGCCUGACAUUCCCAUUUUAUGGUGGAUCCACUGGGACUCAGUCACUGAUGAACUGGAAAGGACAGAUGUCAUUUAGAGGGAAACUUUAUCCUCCAUUUAGCCAUUGGAAGCAAAGCCACUGGCUCCAGGAAGACUUCAGUUCUCUGUGGAUUCCCUAAAUGCCUAUGCUUGCUUCACUGAUGGUUCAGCUAAUCUGAAACUUGAUGGUGUCCCUGGGCUGCUGCAGCUGCUCAAUCUCAAUGCCAGUGAUGUUGAACCAGAAAUAGAGGUGAUUGAUGGGUAGAACUCAAACUAGUACUCAUAGCCUUGGUCAGUACUCUCCUUGGUGAACCUUGUUAUACUUGUACUGACUCAUAGCUGCUUAGUUUGCUACGUGGAAAACUAUAGACUGACAGAUUAAAGAUACUCCUCUAUGGGGCAUGAGAAGUAGAUAUAAAUCAUGGCUGCUGAUGGUAUCAUUUGAUUUCCUUACGUAGAUCUCUGCCCAUAUAAGUUGACUGCAAUCAAGCUGCUGAUUGAGCCUGCACUUCCUUGAAUGGCAGCCUCAUUGCCAGUAUCCAUCUUCAUACCACAGCUCACAACACAAUGACAUUAUAGACUGGAAACAGAGUAGAGGACUCUAUGUUUCUGAUGCAAAGAAGGCUACCACUACAUGAUAUAUAUGUGAAUCUAGUCAAAGUUGAUGAGGAAACCACUUGGCAUGGCUUAUGCCUACUGUUGGGAGUCUGUUGGACUUAUAGCCCUCUUCUUGGACUUAUAGCCCUCUUAUCCUUAUCACUGUUGACACUCACUUUGCAGGUUAUGGAGUUGUUGCAAUUUUACCAGCCAACUCUGGUCAUACUACUGUGGCUCUUGAACUAGUCUACAUUAUAUUUUUGCCUUUCCAGACCAUUUGUACUCUGACAAUGGAGAGGCUCUAUUGCAGAAGCCAUGGGUUUUUAGUCAAGCUAUUCCACAGACCUUCCGUGCUCUGGACCCUGCACU
rnacentral:lncRNA from 9 species